UACGGGGGGGGCAAGCGUUGUUCGGAAUUACUGGGCGUAAAGGGCUCGUAGGCGGCCAACUAAGUCAGACGUGAAAUCCCUCAGCUUAACUGGGGAACUGCGUCUGAUACUGGCGGGCUUGAGGACAGGAGAGGAACGCGGAAUUCCAGGUGUAGCGGUGAAAUGCGUAGAUAUCUGGAGGAACACCGGUGGCGAAGGCGGCGUUCUGGACUGUUUCUGACACUGAAAAACGAAAGCCAGGGGAGCAAACGGG
rnacentral:rRNA from 1 species